rnacentral:rRNA from 1 species
CCUACGGGCGGCUGCAGUAGGGAAUAUUGGGCAAUGGACGAAAGUCUGACCCAGCCAUGCCGCGUGCAGGAUGACUGCCCUAUGGGUUGUAAACUGCUUUUCUAUGGGAAGAAACACUCAUACGUGUAUGAACUUGACGGUACCAUAGGAAUAAGGAUCGGCUAACUCCGUGCCAGCAGCCGCGGUAAUACGGAGGAUCCAAGCGUUAUCCGGAUUCAUUGGGUUUAAGGGGUACGAAGGCGGACUACUUGAAAUCGUGCGGCUCAACCGGAAAAUUGCCUGUGAAACUGGUAGUCUGGAGUGCGGUCGAGGUGGAUGGAAUGUGUCAUGUAGCGGUGAAAUGCUUAGAUAUGACCCAGAACACCAAUUGCGAAGGCAGUUCACUAGACCGAUACUGACGCUGAGGCACGAAAGCGUGGGGAGCGAACAGGAUUAGAUACCCUUGUAGUC